CUUACAAUCUGGUAGCAAUAGCGCCCACCUUUUGACAAAACCAUGAAAAGGACAUGCACAGAAUGGAAGUUUGUUGUGAUGUUGAAGGCCGCCGGUGAGAAUUAAUGGCAGUGUUGGGGAGAAAUGCCAUAUUAGCACAUCAUGUGUCCUGUCUGUAGGUGGUCCUUUAAUUUAAGGUGAAAUGCAGCUGGAUCCUUGGAGCUAUGCAUUUAAAGCUCACGUAUAGUGGAAUUUGGUUGGAG
rnacentral:misc_RNA from 1 species